rnacentral:rRNA from 1 species
GUAGAUGAACGCUGGCGGCAGGCCUAACACAUGCAAGUCGAACGGUAACAGGAAGCAGCUUGCUGCUUCGCUGACGAGUGGCGGACGGGUGAGUAAUGUCUGGGAAACUGCCUGAUGGAGGGGGAUAACUACUGGAAACGGUAGCUAAUACCGCAUAACGUCGCAAGACCAAAGAGGGGGACCUUCGGGCCUCUUGCCAUCGGAUGUGCCCAGAUGGGAUUAGCUUGUUGGUGGGGUAACGGCUCACCAAGGCGACGAUCCCUAGCUGGUCUGAGAGGAUGACCAGCCACACUGGAACUGAGACACGGUCCAGACUCCUACGGGAGGCAGCAGUGGGGAAUAUUGCACAAUGGGCGCAAGCCUGAUGCAGCCAUGCCGCGUGUAUGAAGAAGGCCUUCGGGUUGUAAAGUACUUUCAGCGGGGAGGAAGGGAGUAAAGUUAAUACCUUUGCUCAUUGACGUUACCCGCAGAAGAAGCACCGGCUAACUCCGUGCCAGCAGCCGCGGUAAUACGGAGGGUGCAAGCGUUAAUCGGAAUUACUGGGCGUAAAGCGCACGCAGGCGGUUUGUUAAGUCAGAUGUGAAAUCCCCGGGCUCAACCUGGGAACUGCAUCUGAUACUGGCAAGCUUGAGUCUCGUAGAGGGGGGUAGAAUUCCAGGUGUAGCGGUGAAAUGCGUAGAGAUCUGGAGGAAUACCGGUGGCGAAGGCGGCCCCCUGGACGAAGACUGACGCUCAGGUGCGAAAGCGUGGG